UCAUCGGCGGUCUCUAAUUCGCUUGGUGCAGGUCGGGAACUGUUUCGCUUUUUGUUCACGUUGAUCUUGAUUGUUGUUGUUUCUUUCAAUUUCCUCUGCGUUGUUCAGGGGAAAUAUAUAUGUGUGUGUGUGUGUGUAAUCGAGCGAAUUGGAUCCCGCCUUGCAUCAACUGAAUCCGAGACAGCGAUGAAG
rnacentral:pre_miRNA from 1 species